UCAACCAAAAUAAACGUUUCUCAAUAAUUUAAAAACAGAAGUUCAUUAUUUUUUAGAUGGACCAAUCCUACUUCCACUACGCACAACCGGAAUUCUCACCGGAAUCCUGUUUUCUUUCACCGGAAUAUUCCUCUCCUCCUCUCCAAUCCCACUAUUCACACUACUCCGACCAUCAUUUUCUUCCAUUCAACGAAAACGACUCCCAAGACAUGUUCCUCUUCGAAGUUAUUACAGACUCCACCGGAGAAAUCCACUCUCCUCCGGAGCAGGUCAUAGAUCAAGAAGAGAAAGAGUGGAGUUACAGAGGUGUGAGGCGGCGGCCGUGGGGGAAGUACGCAGCGGAGAUACGUGACUCUACACGAAACGGCGUUCGUGUAUGGUUGGGCACAUUUGACACUGCAGAGGAGGCGGCUCUGGCAUACGAUCAAGCGGCGUUUGCAUUACGGGGAUCGGCGGCGGUGCUUAAUUUCACGGAGGAGGUGGCGUAUGAAUCUUUAAGGGAAAUAGGGUAUGUAUAUGAAGAAGGGAGUUCGCCAGUGUUGGCGUUGAAGAGGAUGCAUUCGAUGAAGAGAAAGUGGGAGUUGAAGAAGAAGAAGCGAGAAGAAGUCAAGGAUGAAGAUGUUGUUGUUUUUGAGGAUUUGGGUAGCGAUUAUCUCGAACAAUUAUUGGGGUUUGAGGAAAACUGCAACACUAGUAAAAAUUGGUGAAAGAUUAUAUUCAUGAAAAGGUGAAAAGGUGAACGAACAUAUAUAAUAUAUAUAAGUUUUUUUUCCCCAUGUUAGCCAUAUAGGCACGAAAGGGUCAAGACUCAAGGGUGACGUUCACAUAUAGUCUUUUAAGUUUUAUCUCUUUUUAAGGUAUGAUAUUUCGAGUCUUUUGAAAUUAUAGAAUGCAAAGGUUCCAAGAAAGAAGUCUUUUUGGAUUAUCAUUUUCUAAAAGCUGUGGGAAGGAUGGUCAGGCUCAUUCAGUUUAUAAGUUGACAACAAUACAUUCAUCAAUGAUUAGAAAUGAUACCCUUGUACUUAUUCCUUCAUUUUUGCUCUUUGCGAAUACAAAGUUUCUAUUCUUUUUGCAUGACUACUGUAUGUGAGUGUUUAAUGUGUUGGUGGCAAAACCAAAAUCCUUUGGGCUGUUUUCUACUCCAUCCCUUAAUUGGCCGAAGGGUGCAUUCUUUGGUAUAUGUAAUUAGAAUGCUCGGUUUAAUUUCAUCUUAAAACUUCCGGUGUAGGCAAAUAAAUUCAAUCAAUGGCCAUCAGAAAUCUUCUCUUCGGGAAAAACAUGUUGCAUCGACGCCUAUGGAGAAGGAUGAUGAACAAGUCUAUGAUUGCAUUUAAUGGUCGUGAUAGUAGGGGAUGCUAAAGGAUAGAGUUGGAGAUGACAUUAGUAGGGUGUUUGAGGUGAGGAGAAAGAAGAAUUCCAUUUGUUUAUUUAAUAUAAAAAGGUAACAUUACCAUGUUUUGAUAAAUAAAAUUUAAACUGCCAUGAGUUGGUAAAUAAAUUUCAAAACUACUAUGCUUUAGUUUAAAACUCUUUGGAUUUGUUUAAUGGUUGUAAUAUUCGGAAAUGUGGAUUAGUAGGACUUAUUACUAUUUGAAACUUUAUUGAAUAAAAUUUGUAUCUCCGAUUUACAA